UUAAAACCAAGAUGGCCUCCGGAUGACCAGAAACCCUGAGCAGCUCAGUAAUAUCUCCUUUCCUUCUUCAGUAGGAGACACUAGCAGAGCUUCACCAGCAGAGGACGCCAUCCUCCUUUAUGUGACCAUCAUUGACAUCACAGUUUGAAUCUGUUCACAUGUGGUCAGCUCAGUCUGAGAGGAAGCACAAAAGGAACCUUGAAGGGGCUAUCUCAUAGGAAGUGGAAGUAGGAGCGUCCCUCUCUCUCUCUGUCUCUCUCUCUCUCUCUCUCUCUCUCUCACACCCCCACGGUCGCCCACUCGCCUUCCCAUCCUGUAGCUGUGAGCGCUGCGAGCCAGGAACACCCCCUCUCCGCAGGGCCAUGGCUGCCUGCUAGUAUUUUGGUAAUCGUCAUCCUCCCUGACCUGCUGGCCCGAUCCUGGCGCCAGGAGUCUCCACGCCUCCCCUCCACCUCCCAGAGCCGACUACCCCCGACCCCACGGAUAAUUCGGUCCAGCUGUUGCAAGGUGCCUUGCUCGCUCCCACCCACUAUACUCACACUUGCUUCUCAUACAGUUUUGUCUCAGGGAGGAAAAAAAAAACCCUGGCUUUGGGCUUUUUUGGAGGCCUCUCAAGUCUUUGCAUGGGGUCUCACUGGUGCAUAAAAUAAAUCCAAGUCAAUCACAGGCCUGGUUCCUGCUCUGCAA